rnacentral:rRNA from 1 species
CGGCGGACGGGUGAGUAACGCGUGGGUAACCUGCCUCAUACAGGGGGAUAACAGUUAGAAAUGGCUGCUAAUACCGCAUAAGACCACAGUACUGCAUGGUACAGUGGUAAAAACUCCGGUGGUAUGAGAUGGACCCGCGUCUGAUUAGGUAGUUGGUGAGGUAACGGCCCACCAAGCCGACGAUCAGUAGCCGACCUGAGAGGGUGACCGGCCACAUUGGGACUGAGACACGGCCCAA